GUGCUCACUUUGGUAGCACAUAUACUAAAAGUGGAGUGAAACAGAGAUUAGCAUGGCCCCUGUGCAAGGAUGUCAUGCAAAUGUAUGAAGUGUUGCAUUAUUUU